UUGAAGAGUUUGAUCAUGGCUCAGAUUGAACGCUGGCGGCAGGCUUAACACAUGCAAGUCGAGCGGAAACGAUGGGAGCUUGCUCCCAGGCGUCGAGCGGCGGACGGGUGAGUAACGCGUAGGAAUCUACCCAGUAGCGGGGGAUAGCCAGUGGAAACGCUGAUUAAUACCGCAUACGCCCCACGGGGGAAAGGAGGGGAUCUCUUCGGAGACCUUUCACUAUUGGAGGAGCCUGCGUUGGAUUAGCUAGUUGGUAGGGUAAAGGCCUACCAAGGCGACGAUCCAUAGCUGGUCUGAGAGGAUGAUCAGCCACACUGGGACUGAGACACGGCCCAGACUCCUACGGGAGGCAGCAGUGGGGAAUCUUAGACAAUGGGCGCAAGCCUGAUCUAGCCAUGCCGCGUGAGUGACGAAGGCCUUAGGGUCGUAAAGCUCUUUCGCCAGAGAUGAUAAUGACAGUAUCUGGUAAAGAAACCCCGGCUAACUCCGUGCCAGCAGCCGCGGUAAUACGGAGGGGGUUAGCGUUGUUCGGAAUUACUGGGCGUAAAGCGCACGCAGGCGGUCUGUUAAGCUAGAUGUGAAAGCCCCGCGCUCAACGUGGGAGGGUCAUUUAGAACUGGCAGACUAGAGUCUUGGAGAGGGGAGUGGAAUUCCAGGUGUAGCGGUGAAAUGCGUAGA
rnacentral:rRNA from 1 species